rnacentral:rRNA from 1 species
AGAAUCAACGCUGGCGGCGUGCCUAACACAUGCAAGUCGAUCGAGAAAGUGGAGCAAUCCAUGAGUAAAGAGGCGCACGGGUGAGUAACACGUGACUAACCUACCUUCGAGUGGGGAAUAACCUGGGGAAACCCGGGCUAAUACCGCAUAAUACCUACGGGUCAAAGGAGCAAUUCGCUUGAAGAGGGGGUCGCGGCAGAUUAGUUAGUUGGCGGGGUAAUGGCCCACCAAGACGAUGAUCUGUAUCCGGCCUGAGAGGGCGCACGGACACACUGGAACUGAAACACGGUCCAGACUCCUACGGGAGGCAGCAGUGGGAAUUUUGCGCAAUGGGGGAAACCCUGACGCAGCAACGCCGCGUGGAGGAUGAAGUCCCUUGGGACGUAAACUCCCUUUCGACCGGGACGAUUAUGACGGUACCGGAUGAAGAAGCCCCGGCUAACUUCGCGCCAGCAGCCGC